rnacentral:rRNA from 1 species
UACGAAGGGGGCUAGCGUUGCUCGGAAUUACUGGGCGUAAAGCGCACGUAGGCGGCUUCUUAAGUCGGUGGUGAAAUCCUGGAGCUCAACUCCAGAACUGCCUUCGAUACUGGGAAGCUCGAGUCCGGGAGAGGUGAGUGGAACUGCGAGUGUAGAGGUGAAAUUCGUAGAUAUUCGCAAGAACACCAGUGGCGAAGGCGGCUCACUGGACCACUUCUGACGCUGAGACACGAAAGCGUGGGUAGCAAACAGG